rnacentral:tRNA from 1 species
GAGGGUGUAGCUCAGUGGCAGAGCACGUGCCCAACAUGCACAAGGUCCUGGGUUCAAUCCUCAAUGCCUCCA